GAUGAAGAACGUAGCGAAAUGUGAUAAGUAGUGUGAAUUGCAGAAUUCAGUGAAUCAUCGAAUCUUUGAACGCACAUUGCGCCCCUUGGUAUCCCGAGGGGCAUGCCUGUUCGAGCGUCAUUUCACCACUCAAGCCUGGCUUGGUGUUGGGCGACGUCCCCUUUGGGGACGCGCCUCGAAACGCUCGGCGGCGUGGCACCGGCUUUAAGCGUAGCAGAAUCUUUCGCUUUGGAAGUCGGGGCCCCGUCUGCCGGAAGACCUACUCGCAAGGUUGACCUCGGAUCAGGCAGGGAUACCCGCUGAACUUAAGCAUAUCAAUAAGCGGAGGA
rnacentral:misc_RNA from 1 species